GAUGAACGCUAGCGGCGUGCCUAAUACAUGCAAGUCGAGCGAACAGACGAGGAGCUUGCUCCUCUGUCGUUAGCGGCGGACGGGUGAGUAACACGUUGUUACCCUACCUAUAAGACUGGGAUAACUUCGGGAUACCGGAGCUAAUACCGGAUAAGAUAUUGAACUGUAUUGAUCAAGAGUGGAAGAAAGAUUUGUUUUCACUCAUAUAUCGAGUCGCGCCGCAUUAGAUAGUUGGUAAGGUAACGGCUUACCAAUGCAACGAUGCGUAGCCGACCGGAGAGGGUGAUCGGCCCCACUGCAACGGAGACACGGUCCAGACUCCUACGGGAGGCAGCGGUAGGGUAUCGUACACAAGGGGCGAAUGCCUAAAGGGGCAAAGCCGCGUGGGUGAUGAAGAGCUGCGGAUAUUAAAUCUCUGUUAUUAGGGAAGAAGAAAUGUGUAAGUAACUAUGAGCGUCUUGACGGUACCUAAUCAGAAAGCCACGGCUAACUACGUG
rnacentral:rRNA from 1 species